rnacentral:rRNA from 1 species
GAUGAACGCUAGCGACAGGCCUAACACAUGCAAGUCGAGGGGCAGCACAAGGAGUAAUCUGAGGUGGCGACCGGCGCACGGGUGAGUAACACGUAUGCAACCUGCCUGUAAGCGGGGAAUAACCCGUUGAAAGACGGACUAAUACCGCAUAAUACUAAAUUACUGCAUGGUAAUUUAUUUAAACAUUUAUGGCUUACAGAUGGGCAUGCGCAUGAUUAGCUAGUUGGAGAGGUAACGGCUCCCCAAGGCAACGAUCAUUAGGGGUUCUGAGAGGAAGGUCCCCCACACUCGGUACUGAGACACGGACCAGACUCCUACGGGAGGCAGCAGUGAGGAAGUAUUGGUCAAUGGGCGAGAGCCUGAACCAGCCAAGUCGCGUGCAGGAAGAAUGUCCUAUGGAUUGUAAACUGCUUUUGCAGGGGAAUAAAUGAGCCCACGUGUGGUUUUUUGUAGUACCGUAUGAAUAAGGAUCGGCUAACUCCGUGCC